rnacentral:rRNA from 1 species
UACGUAGGGUGCGAGCGUUGUCCGGAAUUAUUGGGCGUAAAGGGCUCGUAGGCGGAUUGUCGCGUCGGGAGUGAAAACCUCGGGCUUAACUCGGGGCUUGCUUUCGAUACGGGCAGACUAGAGGUAUGCAGGGGAGAACGGAAUUCCUGGUGUAGCGGUGAAAUGCGCAGAUAUCAGGAGGAACACCGGUGGCGAAGGCGGUUCUCUGGGCAUGAUCUGACGCUGAGGAGCGAAAGUGUGGGGAGCGAACAGG